rnacentral:lncRNA from 1 species
GCAGAUACAAGCUCAUGCACAGAAAACCAAAAUAUGCAUUUCAUGAAACAAGUAUAGCAUAUAACAGCAAUUCAAAUGAAUUUGUGAGCUUGACACAACACAGAACAAUUUCAAAUCCAAACACCAAUUAAAUUUGGUUGUAGGAUGCACAGUGAUGUCAUUUUCAUCGUUCAAGCUGAACAGACUUACCGGGACGAAAAUCUACACAGACAAUCUCAGCACACACAAGUUCAAUUAUAGCUGCCAUUCAGCAAGGGGUCUAUACAAAUCCGCACUCCAUUCAUCCUAUGCUACUCAUGUCCGGCUUUCUUUUGAUAAUAGAAAGACGCACCAAAUCCUUUGAAAUAUCACUUCUGAUAGCCAGGAGGAGGAUAACCGGAUGCAGGAUAACCAGCAGGUGGAUAGGCAGGAGCUGGAUAACCUUGUUGAGGAGGUGGUUGACCAUAUGCUUGUUGAGGAGGUGGUUGACCAUAAGCUGCCCCAUACGCUGGAGGAGGAUAUCCAACAGUUGGUGGGUAAGGCUGAUCUAGUCGUGACAUGUGCUGCACUGGUGGCACCGCCAUUGGUUGAGGACCAAACUUGCCAUCUCUCUUGUCCAUUUCAACCUUAUGUUGCGUCUGCAAUGCUCAUCAACCACAGUAACCUCAGAUGUAAACUAUUAACUAGGGAACAGUAAGCUACUUACUGCAGAAAGCUUACAAGCUCCAGCUACUUGUAAGUUCCUCUUUUCUUUUUUCUUUUUUUUUUUGGAUGAGUAACCUCGGCUUUUGACUUCAUAUUAUCACGAAUUAUUUUUACCACAUCAACCAUUGUAAAAGUUUUGUUAUGUCUAUAUGAGAAGCAUUUCAUGUUUGAUACAUUGAUUUAAGUUUCUUGCUUACCUGCAUACAGGCACAAACCCUGCAACCAGAAGAUGCAGAGCAUAUUUAGGAACAAAAAUUUGAAAUAUUAUACAUAAAGAUAAUAUGCACGA